rnacentral:rRNA from 1 species
GGAUUGAACGCUGGCGGCAUGCCUUACACAUGCAAGUCGAACGGCAGCACGGGAGCAAUCCUGGUGGCGAGUGGCGAACGGGUGAGUAAUACAUCGGAACGUGCCUAGUAGUGGGGGGAUAGCCCGGCGAAAGCCGGAUUAAUACCGCAUACGACCUACGGGUGAAAGCGGGGGAUCGCAAGACCUCGCGCUAUUGGAGCGGCUGAUGUCAGAUUAGGUAGUUGGUAGGGUAAAAGCCUACCAAGCCGACGAUCUGUAGCUGGUCUGAGAGGACGACCAGCCACACUGGGACUGAGACACGGCCCAGACUCCUACGGGAGGCAGCAGUGGGAAUUUUGGACAAUGGGCGCAAGCCUGAUCCAGCAAUGCCGCGUGCAGGAAGAAGGCCUUCGGUUGUAAACUGCUUUUGUACGGAACGAAAGGCUUAGCCUUAAUGCGCGAGCCAUGACGUACCGUAAGAAUAAGCAACCGGCUAACGUACGUAGACCAGCAGACCGUA